AGCAUGCUAGUUGCACGAGUUGAGACUCGUAGCAGAUAGCUCAGUAACACGUGGCCAAACUACCCUAUGGAUCCGGACAACCUCGGGAAACUGAGGCUAAUCCGGAAUACGACUCUCAGCCUGGAAGUGGCGGGAGUCAGAAACGCCCCGGCGCCAUAGGAUGUGGCUGCGGCCGAUUAGGUAGACGGUGGGGUAACGGCCCACCGUGCCCAUAAUCGGUACGGGUUGUGAGAGCAAGAACCCGGAGACGGUAUCUGAGACAAGAUACCGGGCCCUACGGGGCGCAGCAGGCGCGAAACCUUUACACUGCACGAAAGUGCGAUAAGGGGACUCCAAGUGCGAGGGCAUAUAGUCCUCGCUUUUCACCACCGUAAGGAGGUGGUAGAAUAAGUGCUGGGCAAGACCGGUGCCAGCCGCCGCGGUAAUACCGGCAGCACGAGUGAUGACCGCUCUUAUUGGGCCUAAAGCGUCCGUAGCUGGCCACGCAAGUCUAUCGGGAAAUCCGCGCGCUCAACGCGCGGGCGUCCGGUGGAAACUGUGUGGCUUGGGACCGGAAGAUCCAGAGGGUACGUCUGGGGUAGGAGUGAAAUCCCGUAAUCCUGGACGGACCACCGGUGGCGAAAGCGCUCUGGAAAGACGGAUCCGACGGUGAGGGACGAAAGCUCGGGUCACGAACCGGAUUAGAUACCCGGGUAGUCCGAGCUGUAAACGAUGUCUGCUAGAUGUGCCACAGGCUACGAGCCUGUGGUGUGUCGUAGGGAAGCCGUGAAGCAGACCGCCUGGGAAGUACGUCCGCAAGGAUGAACUUAA
rnacentral:rRNA from 1 species